rnacentral:rRNA from 1 species
AGAGUUUGAUCCUGGCUCAGAACGAACGCUGGCGGCGUGCCUGAGACAUGCAAGUCGUGGGAGAAUGUCGUAGCAAUACGAUUAGUAAACCGGCGUACGGGUGAGUAACACGUGGAUAACGUGCCUUGAAGCUCGGGAUAACCCGUCGAAAGACGGACUAAUACCGGAUAAGACCACGGGAAGUUCGCUUCCUGGGGUCAAAGGUGGCCUCUGCUCCUGCAAGCUAUCACUUCUAGAGCGGUCCGCGGCCUAUCAGCUAGUUGGUGAGGUAAUGGCUCACCAAGGCUAAGACGGGUAGCUGGUCUAAGAGGAUGGUCAGCCACACUGGGACUGAGACACGGCCCAGAGUCCUACGGGAUGCAGCAGUCAGGAAUAUUGCGCAAUGGAGGAAACUCUGACGCAGCGACGCCGCGUGGGUGAUGAAGGCCUUCGGGUCGUAAA